UGCUAAUUGAAUCUUUAUCACAUUUUGUUCAAAUAUGAAUAGAAUUCGGUUCAUUGGGGAUUUCAGUUAGGUUCACUUGAUUCAAACAUGCAUGCUUGUGCUUGUCGCCUUGUCGGUGUAUUGACAAAAUUUUUUUGUCCUUACAGCAAAAUUGAAAAAGAUGAUGGUCACAAAAAAGGAGAAGCCGCACUAUAACAAAACUCACGAUCUGAGAUGCCAAACAAAAGCAAUAGAAAAGGGUGUUCAAAGAAAUGAGUCAGAAAAA